rnacentral:rRNA from 1 species
GGAUAACUGCCCUUUAGGUCCGGCAUAACCCCGGGAAACUGGGGAUAAUUCCGGAUAGAUCAUAGAUGCUGGAAUGCGCUUUGAUCCAAAGCUAUUGUGCCUAAGGAUGGGUCUGCGGUCUAUCAGGUUGUAGUGGGUGUAAUGUACCUACUAGCCUACGACGGAUACGGGUUGUGGGAGCAAGAGCCCGGAGAUGGAUUCUGAGACAUGAAUCCAGGCCCUACGGGGCGCAGCAGGCGCGAAAACUUUACAAUGCGGGGAACCGCGAUAAGGGGACACCGAGUGCCAGCAUCCUAUGUCGGCUGUCCAUAUGUCUAAAUCACAUGUGUUAGCAAGGGCCGGGCAAGACCGGUGCCAGCCGCCGCGGUAACACCGGCGGCCCGAGUGGUGGCCACUAUUAUUGGGUCUAAAGGGUCCGUAGCCGGUUUGGUCAGUCUUCCGGGAAAUCUGACGGCUCAACCGUUAGGCUUUCGGGGGAUACUACCAGGCUUGGGACCGGGAGAGGUAAGAGGUACUACGGGGGUAGGAGUGAAAUCUUGUAAUCCCUGUGGGACCACCAGUGGCGAAGGCGUCUUACCAGAACGGGUCCGACGGUGAGGGACGAAAGCUGGGGGCACGAACCGGAUUAGAUACCCGGGUAGUCCCAGCUGUAAACUAUGCUCGCUAGGUGUCAGGGACGGUGCGACCGUUUCUGGUGCCGCAGGGAAGCCGUGAAGCGAGCCACCUGGGAAGUACGGUCGCAAGGCUGAAACUUAA